UCCCAGAACGCAAAGAAUGCGGGACGGACGGGCUCCGGAACGGAGGCGUCAUCGCGGCUCAUUUAACAGAAGACGACAGUCGCGAUGCAGAUCGAAGCGCGAGCGAGUGGCGUCGCAAAGUCGUUAAUAAGUAAAUCUAUAUUAAUCUCGCAAUAAUUUAAGUCCGCAGCUCGAUAAUAUGUUACGGAAAAUGCUAAAUGGAAUGCGGGACUUGGUAGCGUUAUCGCGAUGGCGCGAACGCGGCAUCGUCGCGUCGGUCUUGCCGCGUGAAGUUGACCGCGCGUGCAUACAUGACGCCGCGCCGCUUCUCGCCACCUUCAGUUGCAUUCCCGUUUCUUUUGCAAAACGCAAUGGACGCGAGAUGGACGGGCUCCGGAACGGAGGCGUAAUCGCGGCUCGUUUAACAGAACGAGGCGUACGCAAAAAGGAUCAACUUCGAAACGAAUGGCGUUACGAUUAAUUUAAUUAAUCGUUUAAUAUUGUAUGUACUACAAUUCUAUUAUUGCAUAUCGUGGGAAUAUAAUCUAAAGAGGUCUGACAACUCGGAAACAAAUUAGACUUAAGGGAGGUAUGGGAUUUCGGAGGAGAAACUUUGCGAUUCAUCACAGCGACGUUUGAUAACUCCAAUGUUGCGCAUCAAUCGAGGUAACAAAACUAUGAAAUAUAACAAGUCAUUAUAAUUUUUAAUAAUAUAAAAGAAAUGUUUUUUAAUAAAAAUGUUUAAAAAAAUUAUGAGUUUAA